UGGCUCACUGCUGAUCACUAUUUGGAAGGUAUCAUAUCCAUAGGAUACCAUAAGGACUCUGUAUAGAUUUCUGCAUUUUUCACCUGUAUUGUGACUUCUGAGACGCACCCCUGAUGAAGUCUAGUUCCUAGACGAAACGCGUUGGGUUACUGUAUUUCUUGUUGAUGUUAUCUCCGAAUAUUUAAUGAGGAAGAAUAAGGAUACAACAGAAAGGUUGCCUUCUUUCCUCCAUAUCCCAUUGAUGGAUUUCUGUAGGAGAAACUACAUCAUAAUGUACAUGUAAUAAUGAUGGAUAUACUUCAUGUUUCUGUAUAAUUGUUUUAAUAAAUUUUUAUGAAAAGUA